rnacentral:rRNA from 1 species
UGGGGAAUAUUGGUCAAUGGAGGCAACUCUGAACCAGCCAUGCCGCGUGUAGGACGAAUGCCCUAUGGGUUGUAAACUACUUUUAUUGGGGAAGAAACCUUUCUACGUGUAGAGAGCUGACGGUACCCAAGGAAUAAGGACCGGCAAACUCCGUGCCAGCAGCCGCGGUAAUACGGAGGGUCCAAGCGUUAUCCGGAAUCAUUGGGUUUAAAGGGUGCGCAGGCGGUAAAGUAAGUCAGUGGUGAAAUCUCUCGGCUCAACCGAGAAACUGCCAUUGAUACUGCUAUACUUGAAUAUAGUUGAAGUAGGCGGAAUGUGACAUGUAGCGGUGAAAUGCUUAGAUAUGUCACAGAACACCGAUAGCGAAGGCAGCUUACUAAACUAACAUUGACGCUCAUGCACGAAAGCGUGGGGAGCAAACAGGAUUAGAUACCCUCGUAGUCCCUGAGCGGGCUGGCAAGGCGCAU